ensembl:snRNA U6 U6 spliceosomal RNA
GUGCUGGCUUCGGCAGCACAUACACUACAAUUGGAAAAAUGAUACGAAAAUUAGUAUGGCCCCUUCGUAAGAAUGGCAUGCAAAUUUACAUUCUAUUUAUUUUU